rnacentral:rRNA from 2 species
GAGUAAUGUCUGGGAAACUGCCUGAUGGAGGGGGAUAACUACUGGAAACGGUGGCUAAUACCGCAUAACGUCGCAAGACCAAAGAGGGGGACCUUCGGGCCUCUUGCCAUCAGAUGUGCCCAGAUGGGAUUAGCUUGUUGGUGAGGUAACGGCUCACCAAGGCGACGAUCCCUAGCUGGUCUGAGAGGAUGACCAGCCACACUGGAACUGAGACACGGUCCAGACUCCUACGGGAGGCAGCAGUGGGGAAUAUUGCACAAUGGGCGCAAGCCUGAUGCAGCCAUGCCGCGUGUAUGAAGAAGGCCUUCGGGUUGUAAAGUACUUUCAGCGGGGAGGAAGGUGUUGUGGUUAAUAACCGCAGCAAUUGACGUUACCCGCAGAAGAAGCACCGGCUAACUCCGUGCCAGCAGCCGCGGUAAUACGGAGGGUGCAAGCGUUAAUCGGAAUUACUGGGCGUAAAGCGCACGCAGGCGGUCUGUCAAGUCGGAUGUGAAAUCCCCGGGCUCAACCUGGGAACUGCAUUCGAAACUGGCAGGCUUGAGUCUUGUAGAGGGGGGUAGAAUUCCAGGUGUAGCGGUGAAAUGCGUAGAGAUCUGGAGGAAUACCGGUGGCGAAGGCGGCCCCCUGGACAAAGACUGACGCUCAGGUGCGAAAGCGUGGGGAGCAAACAGGAUUAGAUACCCUGGUAGUCCACGCCGUAAACGAUGUCUACUUGGAGGUUGUGCCCUUGAGGCGUGGCUUCCGGAGCUAACGCGUUAAGUAGACCGCCUGGGGAGUACGGCCGCAAGGUUAAAACUCAAAUGAAUUGACGGGGGCCCGCACAAGCGGUGGAGCAUGUGGUUUAAUUCGAUGCAACGCGAAGAACCUUACCUGGUCUUGACAUCCACAGAAGAAUCCAGAGAUGGAUUUGUGCCUUCGGGAACUGUGAGACAGGUGCUGCAUGGCUGUCGUCAGCUCGUGUUGUGAAAUGUUGGGUUAAGUCCCGCAACGAGCGCAACCCUUAUCCUUUGUUGCCAGCGGUUAGGCCGGGAACUCAAAGGAGACUGCCAGUGAUAAACUGGAGGAAGGUGGGGAUGACGUCA